GAGAGCAAGCGGACCUCAUAAAGUGCGUCGUAGUCCGGAUUGGAGUCUGCAACUCGACUCCAUGAAGUCGGAAUCGCUAGUAAUCGUAGAUCAGAAUGCUACGGUGAAUACGUUCCCGGGCCUUGUACACACCGCCCGUCACACCAUGGGAGUGGGUUGCAAAAGAAGUAGGUAGCUUAACCUUCGGGAGGGCGCUUACCACUUUGUGAUUCAUGACUGGGGUGAAGUCGUAACAAGGUAACCGUAGGGGAACCUGCGGUUGGAUCACCUCCUUACCUGAA
rnacentral:rRNA from 1 species